UGGGCCAUUAUUAUUUUUAUUAUUAAAUAGAUUAAGUCCACUAAAUUUUAACUAUGUUUUGACUUCCCCUGACAGGCAGGAUGAGCAGUUAACUAUCAGAUGACGGGCCUCUCUGAAGUCACCGUGUGUAGAGAAGCCCAGCAGACAGGCGCUUCCUUCAGGGAGGCCACUCGCUUGGGCAGAAGAAGUCUGUGCUGGGCCUGCUCAGCAACUUCUGUUUCCAGCCUUAAAUAUCAAUGUAUCUCAUUAACUGUAAGCGAUGCUUGCAGCAAUUAGAAAGAACGGAGAUGGAAGUGCCUAUGCUGUACGCCUCGGCUGUGUGAUUUUAUAGGCAAACUCUGGCAACCCUUUGCAAGUCGGCUUCUGCAGUCGAAUAAUGGGACCGGCAUUUUCCCACCCCCUCCCAGGCAAGGCUCAGAGGAGACAGGGCUGAGCAGGUGUUCAUGCUAUGUCAGACUGAGCGUGACAGCUGUUGGUCUCCAAAAUAGCCCGCUGUUCCGAGACAAGAAAUCAGUGUUGGAGUGUGACCCUGGAGCUCUGAUCCCGUUUCUACACCUUCCAGGUGCUGCUGGAAGACACAGAAAAGCUGUCGAACCAUCAGUGGCAACGCAGAGUGAGAGAAAAUGCGAAACUUCCGUUUCUUGCAUUGCUUCCAACCCUGGGUCUGUUCUGUGUGAUUGUGAUUGCAGGAGCUCAACUCAGGCUUGUUCUGUGAAGCCGGAACCCUUGGUGAUGGAGCCUCCGGGGAAUGAGCUGGUGCUGUGGCGCCCUCUGGUGUCCACGUGGCUUCCGCCAGGACUUGCAAGAGGCUGCGCAGAAGGCGCAAAGGAAGAUUUUUAAAAACAUCUGUCCAACUUUCCUUCCUCCUGCAAAAAGAAUGCUGCAGGUAGUGUGAGAGGUCUCAUGCCUGUCUCAUGCGCAAUAGUAUGAGUGAUAAGAUCGGCCUUUCAUGAGAAGAUAACGCAGCAAGCAUAACCCAAAUGGUGGGUCCCGGCCAGGGGGAUCUCUUCUCAGAACAGGUCUACGAAAGCCCAGGUUUGCUUUAGCUGUUUCUUUGCUAAAGCCAAACCCAGCUCUGCUUUCUCGAACAACCUGAGCCCGAAGGUCUUUACUCUACUCUGCUCUGUGUCUGCCAAGGACAAGAAAGAAGGAGAAAGGAUGCUGGGUCCGGAGAACGACUCCUUAGGAACGAGAAGAGAGAGGGACUAACAUAUACUUCCAGGACCCUGGUCCUGCCUCUGUGACCCGUCCUGCACUUUGAUCUCCUGGCGCUCCUCAGACUGGGCGGCUCCAGCUGUUUGACUCUGCAACUGACAUCGGUCAUACGCGCUCUGCUUUCACUCGGAGGCCGGGAUCUAGUCCCCAGCACUGGUCGGACCCCAUUUCCCUUUUCUUUCUCUUUCUUUGUUUCUUUCUUUCUUUCUUUUUCUUUCUUUCUUCUCGUUCUUUCUUUCCUUCUUUCCUUCUUUCUUUUUCUUUCUCUUUCUUUCUUUUCUCUUUCUCUCUCUCUCUUUCUUCCUUCCUUCCCUUCUUCCCUUCCUUCCCUUCUUCACUUCCUUCCCUUCCUUUCCUUCCCUCCCUUCCCUUCCUUUCCUUCCCUCUCCUUCCCUUCCUUUCCCUUUCUUUCCCUCCCCUCCCCCUUCCCUCUCCCCCUCCCCUCUCCCCCUGCCCUCCCUCCCUCUCUCCCUCCCUCCUUUCUUUCUUUCUCUCUCUCUCUCUUUCUUUCUUUUUCUUUCUUUCUUUCUUCUCCUUCCUUCCUUCCUUCCUUCCUCUUUCUUUCUCUCUUUCUCUCUUUCUUUCUUACAGAGUUUUGCUCUUGUUGCCCAGGCUGGAGCGCAAUGGCGCAAUCUCGGCUCACCACAUCCUCUGCCUCCUGGGUUCAAGUGAUUCUCCUGCCUCAGCCUCCUUAGUAGCUGGGAUUACAGGCAUGCGCCACCACGCCCAGCUGAUUUUGUAUUUUUAGUAGAGACAGGGUUUCUCCUUGUUGGUCAGGCUGGUCUCAAACUCCCGACCUCAGGGGAUCCACCCACCUCGGCCUCCCAAAGUGCUGGGAUUAUGGGCAUGAGCCACUGUGCCCGGCCGGACUCCCAUUUCUGAAUUUGCUUGUCAGGUCUCAUAACAGAUCACUGGAAGGAAGAAGCAUAGCCUGAUCACCCAGCCUGAUUGAGGAUGAAAUGGAAAUCUAGGGGUCAGAAGAAAAUGGGAAAGGAACCAUCAGCCUCAGUCAUUUCAACAGAGCCAACCCACAGACCAUGACCAAGCAAAUCUUGCCAUCGUGAUCAUGACCAGUUAGCAUUUAGAAUGUAUCGCUGUAUGCUUUGAUGAUUUUGAUGCUGCCUUUUUGGAUUUACCCUAUAAGAAAGACUCCCUGAACUCCAACACUAUCUCCAGCAUUAUUCACAUUUUCAGGCAGUGUGGUCCCCCAGCUAACAGCAUUAGCACCAGCUCAGAGCUUGCUAGAAAUGCAAAUGCUUAGACCUACUGAGUCAGGAAUUUGGGGCACGGGCCCAGCAAUCUGUGUUUUACAAAACCUCCCAGGUAAGCGAUAUAUGCUAGGACCCUUACAAGGGAAAACAGAGGGGAUCCAGUAUGUGCUGUGUACCUUCCUUGGCGUUUUCUUGUAUAUGAUUAUAUAGGUGGGGUCAGUUUGAGUGGUUGGUGAUCUGAGAUGAUGCUGAGCUUCAAAGAGGAAGACCUAUUGGACAGCUUUCCAUGUAUUUGCAGAUGAAGUGCCACCAUUUUGUUUGAAAUGAGUUUAUGUAUAAUACAUAUACAUUAUAUUUAAACAAGAAUACGUGUUACUAAGUAAAGUAUAAAAACCAAACAUACUCCUACCAUGUGAUCCAGCAAUUGUAUUCCUUAGUAUCUAUCCCCAAAGAAUUGACGACAUCGCUGGAUGUGAUGGCUCAUGCCUGUAAUCUCAGCACUUUGGGUGGCUGACGGGGGUGGAUCAUGAGGUCAGGAGAUCAAGACCAUCCUG
rnacentral:lncRNA from 1 species